UUUCGAAUUCUUUCUGGCUGUCUCCUGCUCAGGUAAUCGGAGCUGGUCGGGAGGCAGCUGUGCGGCUUGGUUUGCUGUUUCCGCCAUGCGGAUUGAGAGGUCGAUUGCCUCGGUGAUCCUGAAGCUUUCUUCUUCGCAGGUGUACGCGGUGUAGACGUUGCCUCUGACGGUUAGGACACCCUUCUCCGUGGGCAUCUUAAGGACUAGGUAUGAGUAGUGCGGGACUGCCAUGAACUUUGUCAGCGAUGGUCGGCCUAGUAUGGCGUGAUAGGUCCCGUCGAAGUCCGCGACUACGAAGUUGAUGAACUCCGUCCGGAAGUGGUCGGGUGUGCCGAAUUGGACAGGCAAUGUUAUCUGUCCGAGAGGCACCGAACUUUGACCUGGCAAAACCCCCCAGAAUUGGGCGUCGUAAGGUUUUAGUUGUGCCGGUGAUAUCUUGAGGGCGGGCAAGCUGUUGCGGAAAAGGAUGUCGAUGGAGCUUCCCCCGUCCACGAGCACGCGCUCGAAUCUGAUGCUGUUGAUGCAGGGAUCAAGAAUCAGGGGGAAACGACC
rnacentral:lncRNA from 1 species